rnacentral:rRNA from 1 species
UUCAAUGGAGAGUUUGAUCCUGGCUCAGGACGAACGCUGGCGGCGUGCUUUAUACAUGCAAGUCGAACGAUGAAGUUCCUUCGGGAAUGGAUUAGUGGCGAACGGGUGAGGAACACGUGAGAA